rnacentral:tRNA from 1 species
AGGGCCGUAGCUCAGGGGUAGAGCGCUACCUUGACACGGUAGAAGUCGUCGGUUCGAGACCGUCCGGCCCUA